GGUGGUUCUUGGGUGAUGCACCCCAGAAUCAGGCUCCCUCCUCUCUGGUUCCAGGUGCGUCACCCGGAGAACUGCA
rfam:Myotis lucifugus cont2.57020, whole genome shotgun sequence.